CAAGAGCGUAUAUUAAAGUUGCCGCGGUUAAAAGGCUCGUAGUUGGAUUUCAGUCUAGGAAGGUUAACUCGCCGAAAGGUUGUACGUUGAUUUUCCUCAGACUUCGUCAGAAGCUCGUGCUGCACUUAACUGUGUGGUACGAUGUUCUGACCUUUUACCUUGAGGAAAGUAGAGUGUUUCAGGCAGGCUACCCAGCUUGAAUACAUUAGCAUGGAAUAAUGAAAUGGAUCUCGGUUCGAUUUCGUUGGUUCUAGAGCUGAGGUGAUGAUCAAUAGGAACAGGCGAAGGUAUUCGUACUUGAGAGUGAGGAGUGAAAUCCGAUGAUCUCUUAAAGACGAUCCGAGGCGAAAGCAUUUGUCAAGGAUGUUUUCAUUGA
rnacentral:rRNA from 1 species